rnacentral:rRNA from 1 species
CGAAAACGAAUUCUCUCUUGAGUGGAUCCUGAGUACGACGGAGCACGUGAAAUUCCGUCGGAAUCUGGGAGGACCAUCUCCUAAGGCUAAAUACUCUCUAGUGACCGAUAGUGAACCAGUACCGUGAGGGAAAGGUGAAAAGUACCCCGGAAGGGGAGUGAAAGAGAACUUGAAACCGUGUGCUUACAAGUAGUCAGAGCCCGUUAAUGGGUGAUGGCGUGCCUUUUGUAGAAUGAACCGGCGAGUUACGAUCUGAUGCAAGGUUAAGCAGAAAAUGUGGAGCCGUAGCGAAAGCGAGUCUGAAUAGGGCGAAUGAGUAUUUGGUCGUAGACCCGAAACCAGGUGAUCUACCCUUGGUCAGGUUGAAGUUCAGGUAACACUGAAUGGAGGACCGAACCGACUUACGUUGAAAAGUGAGCGGAUGAACUGAGGGUAGCGGAGAAAUUCCAAUCGAACUUGGAGAUAGCUGGUUCUCUCCGAAAUAGCUUUAGGGCUAGCCUCAAGUGAUGAUUAUUGGAGGUAGAGCACUGUUUGGACGAGGGGCCCCUCUCGGGUUACCGAAUUCAGACAAACUCCGAAUGCCAAAUAAUUUAACUUGGGAGUCAGAAUGUGGGUGAUAAGGUCCAUAUUCGAAAGGGAAACAGCCC